GGUCUCUCCCUGGUGGAGCUUUCCCCUGCAAACCUAGAAUCUGCUGAUACAGCUGCAUUCCAGUCCUGAGCUACAUACUAGCUGCUUGUGUUGUCCAGGGAAUCCACUGAGUUUUCUGUUGCUGCUUCUCAGUUAAUCCCUGUGCCAGGAAAUGGAUGGAAUCCAAACCCAAGAGAACUAGCUGAAAAAGGUCAAGGUAACUUAAUUGCUCUAGUCUGGGUAGCACCCGGGGUGCUAUGGUGCAGAGAACAUCACAUCCAGACUGUCCUAACUCAGCAGUUAUGGAGCACUGUCGAGAUAUGGAUCAGUCUGCCUGGACAGAAGGCCAGAACAAAUCUCAAUGUUUCAGAUGCAGAUGCUGCUGGAGGUCCCUCUUUUACUGACCCAUUGAAAAUAGGCAUCAACUGUAGAAUGUGAAGGGAAAGAAAGUUUCAUCAGGGAAAUCCGAUGACUGCUUACUCUGCAUGGG